GGGAGUAGUUCAUACGUUCCGUCUACGAUAUUCACUUCUACAUGAGAUGCAUAUGCAAUAGUUCAAUUUUCCAUGCUUUCACAUGCAGGAUGCAAAACAUGAAUUAUUGCUGAACUGUAAAUUUGCAUUUUGAUCACAUUCACCUAAACAUGGUUCUAAACUUUCAUUAUCUUCAUGAAGUAAGGAGUGCUGUGAUAUAAAAUCGGGGUUGACUUUGAUGGUGAUUGUGU
rnacentral:lncRNA from 1 species